AGACCAUGAUGAGGGCACUCUAGGAGAAGGUCCUUGAAACGUUCCAUGCAUCAAGAAAAUGAUUCAUUGGGUCGCUGGCGAAAUUGGAGAAUGUCGUUCCUAAGCUU
rnacentral:snoRNA from 1 species